rnacentral:rRNA from 1 species
GGCGGCGUGCUUAACACAUGCAAGUCGAACGAACCUUCGGGUUAGUGGCGGACGGGUGAGUAACGCGUGGGAAUCUGCCCUCAGGAGGGGGAUAACGGCCGGAAACGGCCGCUAAUACCCCAUAUGCCGAGAGGUGAAAUGAAUUUCGCCUGAGGAUGAGCCCGCGUCUGAUUAGCUAGUUGGUGAGGUAAGAGCUCACCAAGGCAUCGAUCAGUAGCUGGUCUGAGAGGAUGAUCAGCCACACUUGGGACUUGAGACACGGCCCAGACUCCUACGGGAGGCAGCAGUGGGGAAUUUUCCGCAAUGGGCGAAAGCCUGACGGAGCAACGCCGCGUGAGGGAUGAAGGCCUCUGGGCUGUAAACCUCUUUUAUCAAGGAAGAAGAUCUGACGGUACUUGAUGAAUAAGCCACGGCUAAUUCCGUGCCAGCAGCCGCGGUAAUACGGGAGUGGCAAGCGUUAUCCGGAAUUAUUGGGCGUAAAGCGUCCGCAGGCGGCCCUACAAGUCUGCUGUUAAAAAGUGGAGCUUAACUCCAUCAUGGCAGUGGAAACUGUUGGGCUCGAGUGUGGUAGGGGCAGAGGGAAUUCCCGGUGUAGCGGUGAAAUGCGUAGAUAUCGGGAAGAACACCAGUGGCGAAGGCGCUCUGCUGGGCCAUCACUUGACGCUCAUGGACGAAAGCCCAGGGGAGCCGAAAGGGAUUAGAUACCCCUGUAGUCCUGGCCGUAAACGAUGAACACUUAGGUGUCGGGGGAAUCGACCCCUCCGGUGUCGUAGCCAACGCGUUAAGUGUUCCGCCUGGGGAGUACGCACGCAAGUGUGAAACUCAAAGGAAUUGACGGGGGCCCGCACAAGCGGUGGAGUAUGUGGUUUAAUUCGAUGCAACGCGAAGAACCUUACCAGGAUUUGACAUCCUGCGAAUCUCUUGGAAACUUGAGAGUGCCUUCGGGAACGCAGUGACAGGUGGUGCAUGGCUGUCGUCAGCUCGUGUCGUGAGAUGUUGGGUUAAGUCCCGCAACAGCGCACCCACGUUUUUAUUGCCAGCAUUUAGUUGGGCCUCUAGAAGAGAACCGCCGUGAUAACCGGAGGAAGUGUGGGAUGACUCAAGUCUUAUUCCCCUUCUUUUUGGCUCCACGUACUACAAUGUCCGACAAAGGCACAGUUCCAAG